rnacentral:rRNA from 1 species
AGAUUGAACGCUGGCGGCAUGCCUAACACAUGCAAGUCGAACGGGAGUAGCAAUACUCUAGUGGCGGACGGGUGAGGAAUACGUAGGAAUUUGCCCUUAAGUGGGGGAUAACCCGGGGAAACCCGGAUUAAUACCGCAUGACCUCGAAAGAGCAAAGUGGGGGAUCGCAAGACCUCACGCUUUUGGAGAAGCCUACGUCGGAUUAGCUUAGUUGGUGAGGUAAUGGCUCA